AACGAACGCUGGCGGCAUGCCUAACACAUGCAAGUCGAACGAGACCUUCGGGUCUAGUGGCGCACGGGUGCGUAACGCGUGGGAACCUGCCCUUAGGUUCGGAAUAACUCCCCGACAGGGGUGCUAAUACCGGAUAAUGUCUUCGGACCAAAGAUUUAUCGCCUUUGGAUGGGCCCGCGUUGGAUUAGCUAGUUGGUAGGGUAAAAGCCUACCAAGGCGACGAUCCAUAGCUGGUCUGAGAGGAUGAUCAGCCACACUGGGACUGAGACACGGCCCAGACUCCUACGGGAGGCAGCAGUGGGGAAUAUUGGAAAAUGGGCGAAAGCAUGAUCCAGCAAUGCCGCGUGAGUGAUGAAGGCCUUAGGGUUGUAAAGCUCUUUUACCCGGGAUGAUAAUGACAGUACCGGGAGAAUAAGCACCGGCUAACUCCGUG
rnacentral:rRNA from 1 species